GAUCAUGGCUCAGGACGAACGCUGGCGGCGUGCUUCAUACAUGCAAGUCAAACGAGAACUAACUCGGUAGUGGAAAGUGGCGGACGGGUGAGUAAAAUGUAGAGAAUCUGCCCUAGAGAGGGGGACAACCGUUGGAAACGACAGCUAAUACCCCAUAUGAGCGUAGCUGAAAUGCUAUUCUUGAAAACUCCGGUGCUCUAGGAUGAGUCUGCAUCUGAUUAGCUAGUUGGGGGUGUAAUGGACCACCAAGGCGACGAUCAGUAGCUGGUUUGAGAGGAUGAUCAGCCACAAUGGGACUGAGACACGGCCCAUACUCCUACGGGAGGCAGCAGUAGGGAAUUUUGCGCAAUGGGCGAAAGCCUGACGCAAGCAACGCCGCGUGAUCGAGACGCUUUUCGGAGUGUAAAGAUCUGUCACAGGGGACGAAAAAUGACGGUACCCUGAGAGGAAGCACCGGCUAACUCCGUGCCAGCAGCCGC
rnacentral:rRNA from 1 species